AAAUUGAAGAGUUUGAUCAUGGCUCAGAUUGAACGCUGGCGGCAGGCCUAACACAUGCAAGUCGAGCGGAAACGAGUUAUCUGAACCUUCGGGGAACGAUAGCGGCGUCGAGCGGCGGACGGGUGAGUAAUGCCUAGGAAAUUGCCCUGAUGUGGGGGAUAACCAUUGGAAACGAUGGCUAAUACCGCAUGAUGCCUACGGGCCAAAGAGGGGGACCUUCGGGCC
rnacentral:rRNA from 1 species